rnacentral:rRNA from 1 species
UACGGAGGGUGCGAGCGUUGUCCGGAAUCACUGGGCGUAAAGGGCGCGUAGGCGGCGCGGAAAGUCAACGGUGAAAGCUUGGGGCUCAACCCCGAGUCGGCCGUCGAUACUUCCGUGCUCGAGCACUGUAGAGGCAGGUGGAAUUUCGGGUGUAGCGGUGGAAUGCGUAGAGAUCCGAAAGAACACCGGUGGCGAAGGCGGCCUGCUGGGCAGUUGCUGACGCUGAUGCGCGACAGCGUGGGGAGCAAACAGG